GCCUUCGUGGUGUAAUGGUCAACACAUUGGUACGUAUUCGACAGGCCCGAGGUUCGAAUCCCGGCUAGGGUA
rnacentral:tRNA from 1 species